rnacentral:rRNA from 1 species
AGAGUUUGAUCAUGGCUCAGGAUGAACGCUAGCUACAGGCUUAACACGUGCAAGUCGAGGGGCAGCAUGGUCUUAGCUUGCUAAGGCCGAUGGCGACCGGCGCACGGGUGAGUAACACGUAUCCAACCUGCCGUCUACUCUUGGACAGCCUUCUGAAAGGAAGAUUAAUACAAGAUGGCAUCAUGAGUCCGCAUGUUCACAUGAUUAAAGGUAUUCCGGUAGACGAUGGGGAUGCGUUCCAUUAGAUAGUAGGCGGGGUAACGGCCCACCUAGUCUUCGAUGGAUAGGGGUUCUGAGAGGAAGGUCCCCCCACAUUGGAACUGAGACACGGUCCAAACUCCUACGGGAGGCAGCAGUGAGGAAUAUUGGUCAAUGGGCGAGAGCCUGAACCAGCCAAGUAGCGUGAAGGAUGACUGCCCUAUGGGUUGUAAACUUCUUUUAUAAAGGAAUAAAGUCGGGUAUGGAUACCCGUUUGCAUGUACUUUAUGAAUAAGGAUCGGCUAACUCCGUGCCAGCAGCCGCGGUAAUACGGAGGAUCCGAGCGUUAUCCGGAUUUAUUGGGUUUAAAGGGAGCGUAGAUGGAUAUUUAAGUCAGUUGUGAAAGUUUGCGGCUCAACCGUAAAAUUGCAGUUGAUACUGGAUAUCUUGAGUGCAGUUGAGGCAGGCGGAAUUCGUGGUGUAGCGGUGAAAUGCUUAGAUAUCACGAAGAACUCCGAUUGCGAAGGCAGCCUGCUAAGCUGCAACUGACAUUGAGGCUCGAAAGUGUGGGUAUCAAACAGGAUUAGAUACCCUGGUAGUCCACACGGUAAACGAUGAAUACUCGCUGUUUGCGAUAUACUGCAAGCGGCCAAGCGAAAGCGUUAAGUAUUCCACCUGGGGAGUACGCCGGCAACGGUGAAACUCAAAGGAAUUGACGGGGGCCCGCACAAGCGGAGGAACAUGUGGUUUAAUUCGAUGAUACGCGAGGAACCUUACCCGGGCUUAAAUUGCAGAUGAAUUACGGUGAAAGCCGUAAGCCGCAAGGCAUCUGUGAAGGUGCUGCAUGGUUGUCGUCAGCUCGUGCCGUGAGGUGUCGGCUUAAGUGCCAUAACGAGCGCAACCCUUGUUGUCAGUUACUAACAGGUUUUGCUGAGGACUCUAACAAGACUGCCAUCGUAAGAUGUGAGGAAGGUGGGGAUGACGUCAAAUCAGCACGGCCCUUACGUCCGGGGCUACACACGUGUUACAAUGGGGGGUACAGAGGGCCGCUACCACGCGAGUGGAUGCCAAUCCCCAAAACCUCUCUCAGUUCGGACUGGAGUCUGCAACCCGACUCCACGAAGCUGGAUUCGCUAGUAAUCGCGCAUCAGCCACGGCGCGGUGAAUACGUUCCCGGGCCUUGUACACACCGCCCGUCAAGCCAUGGGAGCCGGGGGUACCUGAAGUGCGUAACCGCGAGGAGCGCCCUAGGGUAAAACUGGUGACUGGGACUAAGUCGUAACAAGGUA